GACGAACGCUGGCGGCGUGCUUAACACAUGCAAGUCGAACGGAAAGGCCCUGCUUUUGUGGGGUGCUCGAGUGGCGAACGGGUGAGUAACACGUGAGUAACCUGCCCUUGACUUUGGGAUAACUUCAGGAAACUGGGGCUAAUACCGGAUAGGAGCUCCUGCUGCACGGUGGGGGUUGGAAAGUUUCGGCGGUGGGGGAUGGACUCGCGGCUUAUCAGCUUGUUGGGGGGGUAGUGGCUUACCAAGGCUUUGACGGGUAGCCGGCCUGGGAGGGUGACCGGCCACAUUGGGCCUGAGAUACGGCCCAGACUCCUACGGGAGGCAGCAGUGGGGAAUAUUGCACAAUGGGCGGACGCCUGAUGCAGCAACGCCGCGUGCGGGAUGACGGCCUUCGGGUUGUAAACCGCUUUCGCCUGUGACGAAGCGUGAGUGACGGUAAUGGGUAAAGAAGCACCGGCUAACUACGUG
rnacentral:rRNA from 1 species